GACGAACGCUGGCGGCGUGCUUAACACAUGCAAGUCGAACGGAAAGGCCCUGCUUUUGUGGGGUGCUCGAGUGGCGAACGGGUGAGUAACACGUGAGUAACCUGCCCUUGACCUUGGGAUAACUUCAGGAAACUGGGGUUAAUACCGGAUAGGAGCUCCUGCUGCGUGGUGGGGGUUGGAAAGUUUCGGCGGUUGGGGAUGGACUCGCGGCUUAUCAGCUUGUUGGUGGGGUAGUGGCUUACCAAGGCUUUGACGGGUAGCCGGCCUGAGAGGGUGACCGGCCACAUUGGGACUGAGAUACGGCCCAGACUCCUACGGGAGGCAGCAGUGGGGAAUAUUGCACAAUGGGCGGAAGCCUGAUGCAGCAACGCCGCGUGCGGGAUGACGGCCUUCGGGUUGUAAACCGCUUUCGCCUGUGACGAAGCGUGAGUGACGGUAAUGGGUAAAGAAGCACCGGCUAACUACGUG
rnacentral:rRNA from 1 species